CACAACCUGACCUCAGUCGUGAUUACCCGCUGACUUUAAAUAUAAAAUAUCCCGCUCCCCCCCCCCCCCCCCCCCCCCCUCCCCCCCCCCCCCCCCUCCCCCCCCCACUCCUCCCGCAUCCUCUCCCUCUCACUAUCUAACACCACCACAUCCAUCUCACUCCUUUUCCUGUGUCUUAUUUCCCAUCUUCUUCCCUGCCCCACCCUG
rnacentral:rRNA from 1 species